rnacentral:rRNA from 1 species
UGGCGGACGGGUGAGUAAUGUCUGGGAAACUGCCUGAUGGAGGGGGAUAACUACUGGAAACGGUAGCUAAUACCGCAUAACGUCGCAAGACCAAAGAGGGGGACCUUCGGGCCUCUUGCCAUCGGAUGUGCCCAGAUGGGAUUAGCUAGUAGGUGGGGUAACGGCUCACCUAGGCGACGGUCCCUAGCUGGUCUGAGAGGAUGACCAGCCACACUGGAACUGAGACACGGUCCAGACUCCUACGGGAGGCAGCAUG